UGUGGUGUGGUGAGGUCUGGUGAGUUGUGGUGAGGUGAGAGGAGGUGAGGUCUGGUGAGGUGAGGUGUGGUGAGGUGAGGUGUGGUGAGGUCUGGUGAGGUGUUGUGUGGUGAGGUCUGGUGAGGUCUGGUGAGGUGAGGUGAGGUCUGGUGAGGUGUGGUGAGACAUUAAAAGUUGUCUUCAUACAGGGAGCGUCCAGGGAGUAGAAAGCUGUACCACUGAUUUAAGUAGGGUUACUAGACCAUCACACGCCAAUACAUGGAUGCUAUUACUCUGCCAUUAACAAGGCUAUUUUAGUUAUGAGGAUGACAAGUUCCUUUUGGGGGUAAAAUGACCCUUUCAGAAAACUGUAAUACUGUAACAAUACUGUAUUGAGAAUGUUUUAUAGAAUUUAUAGUUAUUUUCAUGUGAAUCUAUUUUCUCUCCCCAAAUUACUAUUUUGUAAUCUGUAUAUAGUUGUCAUUUGGAUAUACUAAUGCUGCAGAAGCAUGUACUGUUUGAGUAAAGGACACUUUGAAUGAAUAGCCAAAAUACAGCCUAAUAUUAAAGCUCUGGCUAUUAUUCUGCAUCCCAUUGGACUAAUUACUGAUCAUUCACUUGUACCUGUCGUUGCUGUCGGAGGAAACCCUCCUCUCCUAAACAGAAACGUUUCAUUAAAUGGACAUAUUUUCCCAUUAACAAACAUACAAUUACAAAACUUGAGAAGCUGUUUUGAAUACAUUUUCUUGGUCCUAGAGUCAUUCAAAUAUUCAGAGACGACAUUGAGGGAAGUUACUGCUUUCAAUACAGUCCUAAGUUUGGACACAUCUACUCAUUUAAGGGCUUUUCUUUAUUUUUUACUAUUUUCUGUGUUGUAGAAUAAUAGUGAAGACAUCAAAACUAUGAAAUAGCACAUAUGGAAUCAUGUAUUAACCAACAAAGUGUUAAACAAAUCAAAAUAUAUUUUAGAUUCUUCAAAUAGCCACCCUUUGCCUUGAUGACAGCUUUGCACACUUUUGGCAUUCUCUCAACCAGCUUUACCUGGAAUGCUUUUCCAACAGUGUUGAAGGAGUUUCCACAUAUGCUGAUCACUUGUUCGCUGCGUUUCCUUCACUCUGCGGUCCAACUCUUCCCAAACCAUCUCAAUUGGGUUGAGGUCGGGUGAUUUGGAGGCCAGGUCAUCUGAUGCAGCAUUCCAUCACUCUCCUUCUUGGUAAAAUAGCCCUUACACAGCCUGGAGGUGUGUUGAGUCAUUGUCCUGUUGAAAAACAAAUGACAAUCCCACUAAGCGCAAACCAGAUGGGAUGGCGUAUCGCUGCAUAAUGCUGUGGUAGCCAUGCUGGUUAAGUGUGCCUUGAAUUCUAAAUAAAUCACUGACAGUGUCACCAGCAAAGCACCCCCACACCAUCACACCUCCUCCUCCAUGCUUCACAGUGGGAACAACACAUACAGACACACCUUGUGUCUCACAGAAAAAAAAUCUCAAAUUUGGACUCAUCAGACCAAAGCACAGAAUUCCACCAGUCUAAUGUGCAUUGGCCGUGUUUCUUGGCCCAAACAAGUCUCUUCUUCUUAUUGGUGUCCUUUAGUAGUGGUUUCUUUGCAGCAAUUUGACCAUGAAGGCCUGAUUCACGCAGUCUCCUCUGAACAGUUGAUGUUGAGAUAUGUCUGUUAAUUGAACUCUGUGAAGCAUUUAUUUGGGCUGCAAUCUGAGUUUUUUAACUCAUGAACUGAUCCUCUGCAGCAAAGGUAACUCUGGUCUUCUUUCCCUGUGGCGUUACCAAUAAGAGCUAGUUUCAUCAUAGUGCUUGAUGUUUUUUGCGACUGAACUUGAAACUUUUAAAUUACUUGACAUUUUCCGGAUUGACUGACCUUCAUGUCUUAAAGUAAUGGACUGUCGUUCCUCCUUUGCUUAUUUGAGCUCUUCUUGCCAUAAUAAGGACUUGGUCUUUUACCAGAUAGGCCUGUCUUCUGUGUACCACCCCUACCUUGUCACAACACAACUGAUUGGCUCAAACACAUUAACAAUAAAAUAAAAUCCACAAAUGAACUUUUAACAAGGCACACCUGUAAAUUGAAAUGCAUUCCAGGUGACUUCCUCUUGAAGCUGGUUGAGAGAAUGCCAAGAGUGUGCAAAGCUGUCAUUAAGGUGGCUACUUUGAAGAAUCUCAAAUAUAUUUUGAUUUGUUUCACACUUUUUUGGUUACAACAUGAUUCCAUAUAUGUUAUUUCAUAGUGUUGAUGUCUUCAUUAUUAUUCUUCCUUCUGGUCUUCUAGACAGGGUUCCUCUUUCCAAGGGCUGUGUUCCUUUGCCCAUCUUAAACUUUUAUUUUUAUUGGCCAGUCUGAGAUUUGGCUUUUUCUUUGCAACUCCACCUAGAAGUCCAGCAUCCCGGAGUCGCCACUCCACUGUUGACGUUGAGACUGGUGUUUUGCGGGUACUAUUUAAUGAAGCUGCCAGUUGGGGAUUUGUACGGCAUCUAUUUCUCAAACUAGACACUCAAAUGUACUUGUCCUUUUGCCCAGUUGUGCACCGCGGCCUCCCACUCCUCUUUCUAUUCUGGUUAGAGCCCGUUUGCUCUGUUCUGUGUAGGGAGUAGGACACAGCGUUGUACCAGAUCUUCAGUGUCUUGGCAAUUUAUUGCAUGGAAUAGCCUGCAUUUAUCAGAAUAAGAAUAGGCUGACGGGUUUCAGAAGAAAGUGCUUUGUUUCUGGCCAUUUUGAGCCUGUAAUCGAACCCACAAAUGCUGAUGCUCCAGAUACUCAACUAGUCUAAAGAAGGACAGUUUUAUUUAUUUACAGUUUUCAACACAAUUGCAAAAAGGUUUUCUAAUUAUCAAUUUGCCUUUUAAAAUGAUAAACUUGGAUUAGCUAACACAACAUGCCAUUGGAACACAGGAGUGAUGGUUUCUGAUAAUGGUCCUCUGCACGCCUAUGUAGAUAGUCCAUAAAAAAUCUGACAAUAGUCAUUUACAACAUUAACAAUUCAUAUACUGUAUUUCUGAUCAAUUUGAUGUUAUUUUACUGGACAAAAAAUGUGAUUUUCUUUCAAAAACAAGGAAAUGUCUAAGUGACCCCAAACCUUUGAACAGUAGUGUAUAUAUGUUGCUUCUGAAUUUAUAUAAUAAACAUUUAUCAAGUG